rnacentral:rRNA from 1 species
AUUGAACGCUGACGGCAUGCUUUACACAUGCAAGUCGAACGGUAACAGGGAGCUUGCUCCGCUGACGAGUGGCGAACGGGUGAGUAAUGCGUCGGAACGUGCCGAGUAGUGGGGGAUAACGCAUCGAAAGGUGUGCUAAUACCGCAUACGUACUGAGGUAGAAAGUGGGGGACCUUCGGGCCUCACGCUAUUCGAGCGGCCGACGUCUGAUUAGCUAGUUGGUGAGGUAAAGGCUCACCAAGGCGACGAUCAGUAGCGGGUCUGAGAGGAUGAUCCGGCACACUGGGACUGGGACACGGCCCAGACUCCUACGGGAGGCAGCAGUGGGGAAUUUUGGACAAUGGGCGCAAGCCUGAUCCAGCCAUGCCGCGUGUCUGAAGAAGGCCUUCGGGUUGUAAAGGACUUUUGUCCGGGAGCAAAUGCCUGGUGUUAAUAGCACUGGGAGCUGAGAGUACCGGAAGAAUAAGCACCGGCUAACUACGUGCCAGCCGCCGCCGUAACAC